rnacentral:lncRNA from 1 species
GCCACCUCCGUGUGCCAAAAAUAGGCCACGGACACAGCCGCGCUCAAAAAUAACCGCCUGAAGGCCGGGGCGCCAAGUUCGUCCCGCGGAAAAAGGCCACAAAAACGGGUGGGCUAUAGCCUUGGGGGGUGGGGCUGGCUGACUUCGUCCGCCGGACUUGGAAUGCCGCGAGACUUUGCGAGGGGCCUCCGUGUGCCAAAAAUAGGCUGCGGACAAAGCCGCACCCAAAAAUAACUGCCCGAAGGCCGGGACACCAAGUUCGUCCAGCGGAAAAAGCCCACAAAAAUGGGUGGGCUAUAGCCUUGGGGGGUGGGGCUGGCCAACUUCGUCCGCCGGACUCGGAAUGGCGCGAGACUUUGCGAGGCGCCUCCGUGUCACAAAAAUAGGCUGUGGACACAGCCGUGCUAAAAAAUAACCGCCCGAAGGCCGGGGCGCGAAGUUCGUCCAGCGGAAAAACGCCACAAAAACGGGUGGGCUAUAGCCUUGGGGGGUGGGGCUGGCCAACUUCGUCCGUCGGACUCGGAAUGGCGCGAGACGUUACGAGGUGCCUCCGUGUGCCAAAAAUAGGCUGCGGGCACAGCCGCACCCAAAAAUAACCGCCCGAAGGCCGGGGUGUCAAGUUCGUCCAGGGGAAAAAGGCCACAAAAACGGGUGGGCUAUAGCCUUGGGGGUUGGGGCGGGCCAACUUCGUCCGUCGGACUCGGAAUGGCGCGAGACGUUACGAGGUGCCUCCGUGUGCCAAAAAUAGGCUGCGGGCACAGCCGCACCCAAAAAUAACCGCCCGAAGGCCGGGGUGUCAAGUUCGUCCAGGGGAAAAAGGCCACAAAAACGGGUGGGCUAUAGCCUUGGGGGUUGGGGCGGGCCAACUUCGUCCGCCGGACUCGGAAUGGCGGGAGACUUUGCGAGGCACCUCCAGGUGCCAAAAAUAGGCUACGGGCACAGCCGCGCCCAAAAAUAACCACCCGAAGGCCGGGGCGCCAAGUUCGUCCAGCGGAAAAAGGCCAAAAAAACGGGUGGGCUAUAG